rnacentral:rRNA from 1 species
AGAACGACGCUGGCGGCAGGCUUAACACAUGCAAGUCGAACGCCCCGCAAGGGAGUGGCAGACGGGUGAGUAACGCGUGGGAAUCUACCCAGAACUUCGGAACAACUGAGGAAACUUCAGCUAAUACCGGAUACGCCUACGGGGGAAAGAUUUAUCGGUUCUGGAUGAGCCCGCGUUGGAUUAGCUAGUUGGUGAGGUAAUGGCUCACCAAGGCGACGAUCCAUAGCUGGUCUGAGAGGAUGAUCAGCCACACUGGGACUGAGACACGGCCCAGACUCCUACGGGAGGCAGCAGUGGGGAAUAUUGGACAAUGGGCGAAAGCCUGAUCCAGCCAUGCCGCGUGAGUGAUGAAGGCCUUAGGGUUGUAAAGCUCUUUCAGUAGGGAAGAUAAUGACGGUACCUACAGAAGAAGCCCCGGCUAACUUCGUG